UACGUAGGGGGCAAGCGUUGUCCGGAUUUAUUGGGCGUAAAGAGCGUGUAGGCGGCCAGGUAGGUCCGUUGUGAAAACUCGAGGCUCAACCUCGAGACGCCGAUGGAAACCAUCUGGCUAGAGUCCGGAAGAGGAGAGUGGGAUUCCCGGUGUAGCGGUGAAAUGCGCAGAUAUCGGGAAGAACACCCGUGGCUAAGGCGGCUCUCUAGUACGGUACUGACGCUGAGACGCGAAAGCGUGGGGAGCGAACAGG
rnacentral:rRNA from 1 species